GGAAACCAAGGCAAACAGGGACUAUUCCUGGUGCCUGGGUGUCAUCGAACACUGUGCAAAGAGUGAGAGAAAACAAGACUGUCAGCAUGUACCUGAACGCAUGAAGCACACGGGAAAGGCAUCACUGACGGGGAAAGUGGACGCACCACCUCCCUCCCUUUCCAUCAGAGCUGGGGGACUCUGGGUGUGGAAGACGGACAGUCCACAGACUGGCUUCUGGUUGGCUCCCAGGCAUCCUUAUCUGAAUGCUGUUAGAACCCUUGUGGUUCACGAAUAAAACAGAGUAUCACUGAGCUAAGAAAUGAUGAAUGGGAAGAAUACAGAAGACAUCUAUUGCAUGAGCUGAUGCAGACUUAAGAAAGGAAAACCUGGAAAAGAAGAAGGGGGAAGGUACCCCAAGGAUCCUUGGUGGGGAUGGACCUCUGUUCUAGCCCCUUCCAGAGCACACAAUGACUACAAGUAGAAAGAAUCAAAAAGAAAAGAAAGUCAACUCCAUUUAAUUGAAGAAACUCAAGUCCAUCAAUCAAUCAAUAUUUAUUAAGCACAUACAAUGUGCCAGGCUCUGGGACUGCCUUAGGCUCUAAGGAUCUAAGUACAAAGAAUGGAGGAAACAAUAAGGAAAUAUAUAAGUACAUGCAGCAUAAGUAUAAAGUGAAUAAAUACCAAUAAAUAUGAAAAUUGUAUCUUCCUCUAUUUAUUGGGCAAGCAGGGACCUGUGGGUGUGGAACGCUGCAUAUAUGGUCAGACUCAGUUGAUUUGUUGGUUAAUUUCAUAGAACUGGCUUUCCCUCCCUUUUUUCUUUUCUUUUUAUUUGUUGGUACAAAGUAUGGCACCUGGGCUGGGGAAAGGGGAAGCAGGGAUCUAUUUGGAAAUGGAGAUAUUUUCUAAAAAAUAAUUUUUUAAAGUCAGAAUCCAUUAGCCCAUCCUCUAGACCAGACCCCCAAUGACACUGAGCACAGCCUGCUUUGCCAGCCAGUGUCCUUUCUUUGAGCUCCAGCCCCAGGGGAUCUGGAGCUCUGGCCACUAGAGGGAGACAGGAGAGCUGGAAAUAGAGCUUCAGGAGGAGGGUGAGGGGAGAGUAGGGGAGGAAGAGGAUUCUGUCAUCUUGGCUGGAAACAGCCUGCCCAGAAUGGCAGACAAAAGAGGCUAGAUUUGAGCCAGUAACCAGGGUUUUUGAGGGUCUUUGAGCUGAGAAAGGACCACUGAACCUUAGGAAAAGUGAGGUCAUAGAUCAAGGGAGCCCAGAAAUUAGAGCUGGAAGAUCCCUUCAAUAUCAACUAGUCUGACCCCUUGUUUUACAAAUGGGGAAACUGAGGUCUAGAAUGCAAACGUGACUCAGCUAGGGUCACACAGGAUCCAAAUUCAUUGCCAUUCAGAAUGGACUAUUCACUCAAUAAAUCAAUACGUUUAAGCAACUAACGUGUGCCAUGUCCCCGGUCAGGAUUGGCAGGAUUGGGGGUACAAAGACAAAAGAGAGAAAAUGAAACAAAAGCUCCUAGCUCCCCCUCCCGAUUCCCCCUGCAUAUGCCAUGCAUGCCCCUCCCCAUAAACACUCAGGCGUCCUUGGUCUUGGGGGCCUUCCAACCCUGGGAACUCUGCUGCCCGAAGGAAAAAAAUACUGUAAACAGCAAAACCUCAGAAGCUCCUGCUGCCCACGUCACCAGUCUGUCCUCCAAAGCCGGCCGGCAGCCCAGCAUCUUGGAAGGCCAAAAAUUCAGGAGAAUGGGAAUGAAGAGGCCCAGCAACCUCAAAAACUCAGGAGUCCAAAGGCCUGGAGAAGCAGAGCCCUAGGAUCCCGGGACCCCAGAGACCUGGGAGUCUAAAGACCCAGGGAUCCAGUGACUCAGGACCCCAAAUACUGAGGAGCCCAGAGAGAGGCUCAGGAGCCCAAUGACCCAGAAGAGGAGGAAUUCAGACGGCCAAAAACAUUUGGUGCCUGGAACAAGGGAUUCAUAAGCCUAGAGGAAUGGAGAAGUCCAAAGGCAAGGGAACCCAGACACUCAGGAACCCAGAUACCCAGGAACCCAGACACUCAGGAACCCAGAUAGUCAGGAACCCAGAAACCUGGGAGCUCAGGAUGACCAGGAACUUAAAGAUCUGAGAGUGCAGAGGCCCCAGAUCUAACAGACUCGGGAGCCCAGAGGGCCAGAAGCAACAUAAUAACUCAGGAGUCCUGAGGCCCAGAGGCUCAGAAAUCCCAGAAUUCAGAAGCCCAGGAUGCAGAGACCUGAGAACUCAAGGGCCCAGGAGCUAAAAGAACUCAGUUGUUGGUUUCAAUCAUUUUGGGGGGCCUGGGAUUGCAGCACCAUCCCCCAUCCCACUUACUGUCUGAGAUAGGAAAAGAAGAUGCCAGGUCAUGGGCCCUGAGGGCUUUCUGCCUCUCCCAGGGUCUAGCCUGGUGGCACCUCCCACAAACCAGCCAGACACACUUCUAAGCAGCCAGCUCUGAGAGCCAAUCUGGGGGGGGGGGUGGAGAUUCAGGGCACAUUUACUACCCCAAAAGGCCCAUAGGAUGGGAGUAGGGGAGGGUUAGCCAAAUCAAUCCAACAAGCAAUUAUGAAGUGUCCAUAUGUGCAGGAUUCUGGGGACACAAACUGGAAAAUGUGCCCCGUGGUCCUUCAGGGCUCCCUGUCUUCACUGGUCUGCUUUUCUUUCUCUUUCCACAUCUUUCUCUAUUUUUCUUUUCGUUUUGGUGAGUCAAUCAGGGUUAA